AAUAUCUUCGGAUUAUAUGUCUGAGUAACGAGCUAUUUUUUACUAAUUUUUGAAAUUUUAGAUUUUCAUUUAUAAUUUUUAGUUUUACCAUUUAUCUGGACCUUUAUGUUUUUUUUUUGCUGGGCGGUUUAUUUUUUAGAUAAAAGGGUUGAAACCCCUGAUCCUUCUCAUUCGGAAUCGAGAGAGGGAGAGACUGAGGAGGAGGAGGAGAGCGACGCCGCUCCGGUCCCCGUCAAGGCGCGCCUCCGUGGCCGUGGCUGACGAUCGAAUAGAGCCCCCGGCCAAAUCCAAACCCUAGAAGGUAAUUUCUCUUUUCCCUCUUCGUUUUCCAUCCCCCUUGAUCCCUUCUCAUUCGGAAUCGAGAGAGGGAGAGACUGAGGAGGAGGAGAGCGACGCCGCUCCGGUCCCCGUCCAGGCGCGCCUCCGCGGCCGUCGCUGACGAUCGAAUAGAGCCCCCGGCCAAAUCCAAACCCUAGAAGGUAAUUUCUCUUUUCCCUCUUCGUUUUCCAUCCCCCUUGAGCUUCGAUUUUCAGAAAUAGAGCCCUAAUCCGAAUUUCCUUUUUGGGUCCGAGGUUUGGUUUACGGCAAGGGCUUGCGUUCCUUGAAGGAGGCUUGGUGGCAGCUGUUACUGUUUCGGAGGGAGGCAGUGACUUUGGGUGAUUGGUCGAGUGUCUUUAAUCUUGAGUUUGUUUUCAGCGACUCUCCAAUUUGGUUUUAGCUCUAGAUUCACGUUUUGAAUAGAUUGGAGGUAAGGGUUAUGAAUUGAACUGCUGUGUUGUUGUUAUGUUGUGGUUGGUUGGUGUUUGAUUUAGCGCUUUGGUUGUUUGUCGAGAACUAGGCAUGUUGCCGGAAUCUGGCAGAAUAUUCCGGCAAGGGAUUCCGGCGAUGGCAGUUUUUUCGGCAAGGAUGAGAGAGGCGGGGAGAGACAGAGAGCGAAGGUCAUCCAGCCAAGAAAUGUAGUGCUCCCUCUUACUGUGUCUUUUCUCAUCUGGGUAUUGCUUGCUUUUUGGGCUUCGUGGUUAGUAGCGGAUGCAUGUUGGUUUUUCAGGUGAGGCUUACUCUUGGGGACCUGAACAUGAAACUGAAGGCCGAUUUUGAAGGUCAGGUAAUGAGGUCCUCUGCUCACUCCAUAAUUGAUACUAAGGCUGGAUUCGGUAAACUUGAUUCUCUUGGUUUUCAAUUGGUAUAUGUUGGUUCUAAGCUUGCACCUUUUGUUAGGUUGAUCCCCUUUUUUUCUGCAUUUUUUACCCUGAGUAGCCAAAUAGAGUUUUUUUUUUAAUUGUCUGGAUGUGAUUACAAUUUUGGCGAUAGCGUGAGAAUCUUAAUUGAUGAUGUAUGUGAAAUUUGAUCUUAUUGUGGAAUAAAUUUAAUAGCAGACAAUUUUCUGGGACAUAAUUAAGGAGAAUAUCUCAAUUUGGAAAAGCAAUAUUGUUGCAGACAAAUUAUGGUGUACACUUAUCCCAAAUAUAUAUGUUGUAGGACUUGGUAUAUAUGUUCCUGAUAUCAUAUCCACAUAAAAUCACAGAUUCUAUUGAAUUUCAAUUUCCUUGUUCCUUUCCAAUCAUGAAAAUUUACUCUGAAUCAUUUAAGCUAAAAUGGGCAGGUAAAUGAAAUAGGUAAUGUGAACUUUGAUCCACAGACAAAAAAUCCCAUCUUAUGCUCUCUUUACUUUUUCUCAUAUUGAUUUGAUUUUUCAUGGUGAUUUCAGGUCGCAAAAGACCUUUUAGAGCAAAUUGAAGUUGUAGAAUAAUUGCACAGGUUCAUUUCAUUUUACAUUUUAAUCACUCUUUGGGAUGGACUAUGUACAAGAUAUUGACUAAGUUUAAGUUUUUGUCCAGAAAAUGCUUUUAGUCGGUAAUCUUUUAACAAGACACAUAUAUGGGUGAAUUAAUUUGCUUUGUGAAAAUCUCAGAAAAUAUGUCGUCGUUGUGAUUGGUAAAUUCAUCUUUAUGUCAAAAACAAGAGAUAGUGUUUUGAAAACCAGUGCUUUGAUGUGCUCUAAUGUCUCAGUAUUUCUUAUCCUUUUCUUUUGGUUCUAUCCAUAUUUUUUUUUCAUUUUCGGUGUAGAGCCGAUGGGAUAUCUUUGAAUGAAAAUCUAUGGAGGAUUUGUUAACAUGUGCCUGGUCGAGUUUGGUUGAUUUUGGGCGGGAUCCAAUUUGUUAGUUUCUCAGGUAUGUUCUUGAUGUUGUUAUGCUUGACUUUAUUGGCUUUUGCGUUUGCAUUUGAAUUUUUAUCGUGUUUUCAUUUGAAUUUUUUUGUGCGUUGGCAUGAAAUUUGGUGUUUGAAUGCAAAG
rnacentral:lncRNA from 1 species